GAUGAACGCUGGCGGCGUGCUUAACACAUGCAAGUCGAACGGAAAGGCCCAAGCUUGCUUGGGUACUCGAGUGGCGAACGGGUGAGUAACACGUGGGUGAUCUGCCCUGCACUUCGGGAUAAGCCUGGGAAACUGGGUCUAAUACCGGAUAGGACCACUUCUUGGAUGUUGUGGUGGAAAGUUUUUUCGUUGUGGGAUGAGCUCGCGGCCUAUCAGCUUGUUGGUGGGGUAAUGGCCUACCAAGGCGUCGGCGGGUAGCCGGCCUGAGAGGGUGUACGGCCACACUGGGACUGAGAGACGGCCCAGACUCCGACGGGAGGCAGAAGUGGGGAAUCUUGAACAAUGGGCGCAAGCCUGAUGCAGAGACGCCGCGGGGGGGAUGACGGUCUUAGGGUUGUAAACUCCUUUCGCUAGGGACGAAGCGUUUUGUGACGGUACCUGGAGAAGAAGCACCGGCUAACUACGUG
rnacentral:rRNA from 1 species